AGACAUUAAGCCCAUGUCCACCAGCUAACAGCAAAGUGAUGUAAGUCUGAGGCCCACAUUCCCUCCAAGAGGCUGGCUGCAGAUUCAGAGCUGCCUCUCCAAAGCCUCUGUGACCAGGUGACACAAGCACACCUGUCCUUGUCCCGUUGUGUCAGCACCAGUGGAGGAGCUUCUACAACUGACGUCAGGAGAGGUCUAACUAUCUGUAUACUAUUUACAGAGUGAAAGACGGGCACAUCACACGGAUCCGUCCCCAGGUGACUUCAGCCAUGCCCAGUUCAGCUGACGUCAUCAUGCUCCUGCCACCUCUCAUACUGUCCUCUCCAGGUCUUCCCUCGUCUUCGUCCUGGCUGUGGCUGCAGCUUGGUGGCUGAUGGUCGUCUCUGUGCUGCUGUGGCCCCAAGGUGUCAUAUUUUACCCUUCACUACAACACAUCCUUCCCCAAGUUAUAUUUUAUGGAACAUGUGGAUUAUUUAGUCCAGAAUUUUACAUAUUUGAAAAUUUUAUAUUGUUUCAGAUAAUUUGAUCUAAAAAUAAACUUCAAGCAAAUCCUU